rnacentral:rRNA from 1 species
GACGAACGCUGGCGGCGGGCUUAACACAUGCAAGUCGAACGGAAAGGCCCUGCUUUUGUGGGGUGCUCGAGUGGCGAACGGGUGAGUAACACGUGAGUAACCUGCCCUUGACUUUGGGAUAACUUCAGGAAACUGGGGCUAAUACCGGAUAGGAGCUCCUGCUGCAUGGUGGGGGUUGGAAAGUUUCGGCGGUUGGGGAUGGACUCGCGGCUUAUCAGCUUGUUGGUGGGGUAGUGGCUUACCAAGGCUUUGACGGGUAGCCGGCCUGAGAGGGUGACCGGCCACAUUGGGCCUGAGAUACGGCCCAGACUCCUACGGGAGGCAGCGGUGGGGAAUAUUGCACAAUGGGCGGAGGCCUGAUGCAGCAACGCCGCGUGCGGGAUGACGGCAUUCGGGUUGUAAACCGCUUUCGCCUGUGCCGAAGCGUGAGUGACGGUAAUGGGUAAAGAAGCCCCGGCUAACUACGUG